UACGGAGGGAGCUAGCGUUAUUCGGAAUUACUGGGCGUAAAGCGCACGUAGGCGGCUUUGUAAGUUAGAGGUGAAAGCCUGGAGCUCAACUCCAGAAUUGCCUUUAAGACUGCAUCGCUUGAAUCCAGGAGAGGUGAGUGGAAUUCCGAGUGUAGAGGUGAAAUUCGUAGAUAUUCGCAAGAACACCAGUGGCGAAGGCGGCUCACUGGCCCGGUACUGACGCUGAGGUGCGAAAGCGUGGGGAGC
rnacentral:rRNA from 1 species